AGCUUAAUGAGGGGAACUCAGGGAACUGAAACAUCUAAGUACCUGAAGGAAGAGAAAGAAAUUCGAUUCCGUAAGUAGCGGCGAGCGAACGCGGAUUAGCCCAAACCAAUAAAGUUUUCUUUAUUGGGGUUGCGGACAUAUCAUAACGAAGAGGUAUCGUAAUUGAAGAGGUUUGGAAAGACCCACCACAGAAGGUAAUAGUCCUGUAUGUUAAACGAGAAGACUUUAGAUAUGAUCCAGAGUACCACGGGACACGUGAAACCCUGUGGGAAGCAGGAGGGACCACCCUCCAAGGCUAAAUACUACCUAGUGACCGAUAGCGUAUAGUACCGUGAGGGAAAGGUGAAAAGAACCCCGGGAGGGGAGUGAAAUAGAACCUGAAACCCUGCACUUACAAGCUGUGGAAGCACAUUUCUUGUGUGACCGCGUACUUUUUGUAGAACGGGCCAACGAGUUACGUUAAGUAGCAAGGUUAAGCACUUAAGGUGCGGAGCCGUAGCGAAAGCGAGUUUUAACUGAGCGUUCAGUUACUUGACGUAGACCCGAAACCGGGCGACCUACCCAUGAGCAGGAUGAAGCGAAAGUAAAAUUUCGUGGAGGUCCGAACCCACGAGCGUUGAAAAGCUCGGGGAUGACUUGUGGGUAGCGGUGAAAUUCCAAUCGAGCCCGGAGAUAGCUGGUUCUCCCCGAAAUAGCUUUAGGGCUAGCCUCAAGGUGAGAGAUACGGAGGUAGAGCACUGAAUGUCCUAGGGGGUAUUGCACCUACCGAAGACUAUCAAACUCCGAAUGCCGUCAUCUUAUACUUGGGAGUCAGACUGUGGGUGAUAAGAUUCAUAGUCGAAAGGGCAACAGCCCAGAUCGUCAGCUAAGGUCCCUAAAUGUAAGUUAAGUGGUAAAGGAUGUGGGAUUGCACAGACAACCAGGAUGUUGGCUUAGAAGCAGCCACUCAUUCAAAGAGUGCGUAAUAGCUCACUGGUCGAGUGAUCCUGCGCCGAAGAUUUCCGGGGCUAAAACUUACUACCGAAGCUACGGCAUCAGUAAUGAUGGGUAGGGGAGCUUCCCAUACGGGUUGAAGCAUGACCGUAAGGACAUGUGGACAGUAUGGGAGUGAGAAUGUUGGCAUGAGUAGCGAGAUGUGGGUGAGAAUCCCACAGGCCGUAAACCCAAGGUUUCCAGGGGAAGGUUCGUCCGCCCUGGGUUAGUCGGGACCUAAGCUGAGGCCGAAAGGCGUAGGUGAUGGACAACAGGUUGAUAUUCCUGUACUACCGAUAACCGUUUGAGAGAAGGGAUGACACAGUAGGAUAAGCUAAGCACACUGUUGGUUAUGUGUGCCCAAGCAUUGAGGCAGUCAAAGUAGGCAAAUCCGCUUUGAUAAUGCUGGGAUGUGAUGGGGAGCGAAAUUUAGUAGCGAAGUAGCUGAUUUCACACUGUCAAGAAAAGUCUCUAUCGAGGUUAAAGGUACCCGUACCGCAAACCGACACAGGUGGGUGAGGAGAGUAUCCUAAGGCCAGCGAGAGAACUGUUGUUAAGGAACUCGGCAAAAUGACCCCGUAACUUAGGGAUAAGGGGUGCCACCAUCAGGUGGCCGCAGAGAAUAGGCCCAAGCGACUGUUUACCAAAAACAUAGGUUUCUGCUAAGUCGCAAGACGAUGUAUAGGAGCUGACGCCUGCCCGGUGCUGGAAGGUUAAGGGGAUCUGUUAGAGCAAUCGAAGCAGUGAACUUAAGCCCCAGUAAACGGCGGCCGUAACUAUAACGGUCCUAAGGUAGCGAAAUUCCUUGUCGGGUAAGUUCCGACCCGCACGAAAGGCGUAACGAUUUGGGCACUGUCUCAACAACAGACUCGGUGAAAUUGUAAUUCCGGUGAAGAUGCCGGAUACCUGCGACAGGACGGAAAGACCCCAUGGAGCUUUACUGUAGCUUGACAUUGGGUCUUGGUACUACAUGUACAGGAUAGGUGGGAGGCUUUGAAACCAGGACGCCAGUUUUGGCGGAGCCAUCCUUGGGAUACCACCCUUGUAGUACUGGGACUCUAACCAUAGGCCAUGAAUCUGGUCUUGGGACACUGUCAGGUGGGCAGUUUGACUGGGGCGGUCGCCUCCCAAAAGGUAACGGAGGCGCUCAAAGGUUCUCUCAGUACGGUCGGAAAUCGUACGUAGAGUGUAAAGGCAAAAGAGAGCUUGAUUGCAAGACAUACAGGUCGAGCAAGGAUGAAAAUCGGACUUAGUGAUCCGGUGGUUCUGCGUGGAAGGGCCAUCGCUCAACGGAUAAAAGCUACCCUGGGGAUAACAGGCUUAUCUCCCCCAAGAGUCCACAUCGACGGGGAGGUUUGGCACCUCGAUGUCGGCUCAUCACAUCCUGGGGCUGUAGUAGGUCCCAAGGGUUGGGCUGUUCGCCCAUUAAAGUGGUACGCGAGCUGGGUUCAGAACGUCGUGAGACAGUUCGGUCCCUAUCCGUCGCAGGCGUAGGAAAUUUGAGAAGACCUGUCCUUAGUACGAGAGGACCGGGAUGGACGUACCUCUGGUGUACCAGUUGUCCUGCCAAGGGCAUGGCUGGGUAGCUAUGUACGGAAUGGAUAAGCGCUGAAAGCAUCUAAGCGCGAAGCCAACUUCAAGAUAAGAUUUC
rnacentral:rRNA from 1 species